AUCCGGAAAUUCUAGUGGGGCAGUAAGGAGGGCAAAAGAAAGCCAAGUUGGGUUUCAUGGAGUGUCCUGACAAGACCAAAAUUCUGUAGGGGGCUAGGCUUCAGGGACAUUGAACUUUUAAAUCUAGCUCUCCUGGCUAGACAAGCUUGGCGAGUUCUUUUGCAGCCAGAGUCGCUGAGUGCACGUGUGCUCAAAGCCAAGUAUCAUCCCACUUGCGACUUCCUGAAUGCAGAGUUGGGAUCGAAUCCAUCGCAGAUUUGGAGAUCAAUUUUAGAAUGACGCGAUGUCCUUGUACAGGGCCUCACCCGUCGUAUUGGAGACGGUCAAUCAACACAAAUUUGGCAGCAUAACUUGCUCCCU
rnacentral:rRNA from 1 species